rnacentral:rRNA from 1 species
AAAGGAAUAGACGGGGGCCCGCACAAGCAGUGGAGUAUGUGGUUUAAUUCGAAGCAACGCGAAGAACCUUACCAGGGCUUGACAUCCUCUGCCCGCUUUAGAGAUAAAGCUUUCUCUUCGGAGACAGAGAGACAGGUGGUGCAUGGUUGUCGUCAGCUCGUGUCGUGAGAUGUUCGGUUAAGUCCGGCAACGAGCGCAACCCUUGUUGUUAGUUGCCAUCAUUAAGUUGGGCACUCUAGCGAGACUGCCGUUGACAAAACGGAGGAAGGUGGGGACGACGUCAAAUCAUCAUGCCCCUUAUGUUCUGGGCUACACACGUACUACAAUGGUAACAACAGCGAGCCGCGAAGUCGCGAGACGGAGCCAAUCUCGAAAUGUUAUCUCAGUUCAGAUUGCAGGCUGCAACUCGCCUGCAUGAAGCAGGAAUUGCUAGUAAUGGCAGGUCAGCAUACUGCCGUGAAUACGUUCCCGGGCCUUGUACACACCGCCCGU